ACAUUGCCGGCUCAAUAGUUAGAGCGAUGGACUUCUGAUCAAUGGGUCACGAGUUCGAGCCUCGGGUGAUGCA
rnacentral:tRNA from 1 species